rnacentral:rRNA from 1 species
UACGAAGGGGGCUAGCGUUGUUCGGAUUUACUGGGCGUAAAGCGCACGUAGGCGGAUCGUUAAGUUAGGGGUGAAAUCCUGGAGCUCAACUCCAGAACUGCCUCUAAUACUGGCGAUCUAGAGUCCGGAAGAGGUGAGUGGAACUCCUAGUGUAGAGGUGGAAUUCGUAGAUAUUAGGAAGAACACCAGUGGCGAAGGCGGCUCACUGGUCCGGUACUGACGCUGAGGUGCGAAAGCGUGGGGAGCAACAGG